rnacentral:rRNA from 1 species
AGAGUUUGAUCAUGGCUCAGGACGAACGCUGGCGGCGCGCUUAACACAUGCAAGUCGAGCGAGAACCGGGACUUCGGUCCCGGGGACAGCGGCGAACGGGUGAGUAACACGUGGGUAAUCCACCCUCGGCACCGGGAUAGCCCGGGGAAACCCGGAUUAAUACCGGAUGGCCCCUCCGACUUUCGGGUCGGUCGGGAAAGGUAGCUUCGGCCUCUGGCCGGGGACGAGCCCGCGGCGGAUUAGCUUGUUGGUGGGGUAACGGCCUACCAAGGCGACGAUCCGUAGCUGGUCUGAGAGGACGAUCAGCCACACUGGGACUGAGACACGGCCCAGACUCCUACGGGAGGCAGCAGUGGGGAAUCUUGCCCAAUGGGCGCAAGCCUGAGGCAGCGACGCCGCGUGAGGGAAGAAGGCCUUCGGGUUGUAAACCUCUUUCAGCAGGGACGAAGCUACUCGGGUUAACAGCCCAGAGGGUGACGGUACCUGUAGAAGAAGCCCCGGCUAACUACGUGCCAGCAGCCGCGGUAAUACGUAGGGGGCAAGCGUUGUCCGGAUUUACUGGGCGUAAAGAGCGUGUAGGCGGCCAAGCAGGUCUGUUGUGAAAACUGGAGGCUCAACCUCCAGACGUCGACAGAAACCGCUUGGCUAGAGUCCGGAAGAGGAGAGUGGAAUUCCUGGUGUAGCGGUGAAAUGCGCAGAUAUC